GACGUAGGGUGCGAGCGUUGCCCGGAUUUAUUGGGCGUAAAGGGCGCGUAGGCGGCUCGACACGUUCGUUGUGAAAUCGCCCGGCUCAACUGGGCGGGGUCAGCGAAUACGGUCGAGCUUGAGCAAGCUAGGGGGCAAUGGAAUUCCCGGUGUAGUGGUGGAAUGCGUAGAUAUCGGGAGGAACACCAGUGGCGAAGGCGGUUGCCUGGGGCUUUGCUGACGCUGAUGCGCGAAAGCGUGGGGAGCGAUCCGG
rnacentral:rRNA from 1 species